rnacentral:rRNA from 1 species
AGGGAAUCUUCCACAAUGGACGAAAGUCUGAUGGAGCAACGCCGCGUGAGUGAAGAAGGUUCUCGGAUCGUAAAACUCUGUUGUGAGGGAAGAACAAGUACCGGAGUAACUGCCGGUACCUUGACGGUACCUCAUUACAAAGCCACGGCUAACUACGUGCCAGCAGCCGCGGUAAUACGUAGGUGGCAAGCGUUGUCCGGAAUCAUUGGGCGUAAAGCGCGCGCAGGCGGUCCCUUAAGUCUGAUGUCAAAGCCCACGGCUCAACCGUGGAGG